CAGUAGCCGCGGGAAAACGUAGGGUGCGAGCGUUAAUCGGAAUUACUGGGCGUAAAGCGUGCGCAGGCGGUUUGUUAAGACAGAUGUGAAAUCCCCGGGCUUAACCUGGGAACUGCAUUUGUGACCGGCCGGCUAGAGUAUGGCAGAGGGAGGUGGAAUUCCACGUGUAGCAGUGAAAUGCGUAGAUAUGUGGAGGAACACCGAUGGCGAAGGCAGCCUCCUGGGCCAAUACUGACGCUCAUGCACGAGAGCGUGGGGAGCAAACAGGAUUAGAUACCCCCGUAGUCCCUGUCUCUUAUAC
rnacentral:rRNA from 1 species